rnacentral:sRNA from 2 species
CCAAGUCCAGGCAAGAUUUUUUGCCUUUCAUUUCACAUGGGAAUGAACCAGAUGAACUCUAAAUAAAUAAAUAUUUGCUACCUAACAAACUCCAAUGGGCGAAAUAUCCAUGCCAAUGAAACGAAAAAGAGCUUUAACAUAAGCAGCAAGAACGCCAAACCGGUUCCGUCUAUAGCUUUUUUUUGACGGGUGUGAGUGAAAUGAAAAGUACCACCCGGAGAGAGUAUAUAUAUGUAUAUAUGCAUAUCAUUAUCACAAUCUCCGCGGUUGCAACGCAAGAGGGCAAAGAGAAAAACGGUGGAAGGAAAAAGGGACAAUAGAACUGAAUGUCGCGAAACGAUGUGAGAGAGGUGAAAAAGAGUCUAUGUAAGAAAUCCAUCGCAUGUAUGAUAUCCCGAUCUGCAAACAGAAAAACAUUAAGAAACAGAAAAGAAUAAAAUCCAAACCAAAAAGAGGCGGGAAAAAAUAAAUAAAUAAAAGGAAGCCCCCUUAUGUUCACAUCAUUAACUUCGGUCUUUUACGACCAAAAAUAAUCGCUGGUUCGAAAAUGUUAUGCUUCAUCAUCGGUGUCUGGCGGGUGAGGUGUGCCUUUGGGAGAGUUAAGCCUGGAAAGAGGAACGUUAUAUGUUAGCAUAGUCCACCCAUCAAACAAGGAUGAGAAGGAAGAAUUGACAACGCACCAUUCAAUAUGUCUCAAUCGCCUCCGCACCUCACGUUCCUUCAUCUGUGCACGAGUCAACUUCUUCUUUUUCUUCGCCUUGAACUUCAACUCUCCGCCCGCAUCCUCCGCCCCAGAAUUAGCUGCAGACGCCGCCGCAGAGGCUACCGCGCUGGAAACGACGCUGCUAGCCACAGUGCUGGGUCCGCGCGAGCUGUCCUCAAACCGGUCGAGGGAGAGCGAUACAUGGCCCUUAUGCGUCAUCCGGCCGUUUUCGACAUGCCAUUGCUCCGGGCAUAGCGCACCGACGAAUUCCUCGUUAUGGGAAAUCAUCACCACACCCCCCUUGUAGUCACGGAUGGCGACGGCAAGACCGCCCAGCGAGUCGCGGUCCAGAAAGUUAGUGGGCUCGUCAAGGACGAGGAGAUGCGGGUUAUUCCACAUCGCGCCGGCGAGGACGACUUUGACCUUUUGGCCGCCGGAGAGACCGGAGAUUUGGUUGUGGUUUGCAAUUUCUGGAUCGAGGCCGACGUCUUCGAAGUGCUUGGAGAUUACUUUCGGUUCCAGGACGCGGUAGCCUAGACCCUCACGAGAGGCUUCGUGGUCGUCGUAUUCUUGGACGAGCUUUUGGAAGCCUUCUUUUAAAAGUGUUUC